GGCUCCAAACAGUGAUGGAAGGUCAUAGAUACAGGACCAAGAGAGACAGUGAGCUCUAUGAAGACGAGACUUUGUCUGGAUUAAAGAUCAGUUCACUUCUGAGUUCCCGGAGUUUAUCACGGCCUGCCUAAAGAUGGCCUUGGUUGACUGAAUGAAUGAAGCCAAACUAGGUGCUCUUGCAAAUCCUGUUCCUCAUACUCUGUCUUGGUGGUGAGUGGAAGUCCAAUCUUCUUUUUUAGAAAAAUAAUGAACUUUUGUUCAAUUUUAUCAGAGAUUUUGCAUUUUUAUUGAUAUUUUCAAAUACCCUACAAUUUGCUUUGCUUGGGUCUCUUUAUGGUAUGUUUAUUUAUAAAUAUGUUCUUUGUAUAUUUGUUUUCUGUUAUUGAUUUCCACUCAUUUAUCAUUAUCUCCUUUCAACUGGUCCGGUAGCUUUACACAGAUACAAAACAUAAACUCAUGGAAUUCUUACCCAGAUUAACCCCAGGGCAGAAUAGUCACUCAACAGAGAGUAACUCAGCUCAGAGUAACUCAGGUGGCUCUUCUCUGGCAUAUAGCAUAAAUAGGCUCACCUCCAGGCCUGAGGGAAUUUCUUGCAGAGCAAUAAAGUACAGUAUGACAAUGCUAAUCAAGUGUGCUCACUCCUGAAGGAAUGAAGAAACAUGGAAACUCCACAUAUCAAGUGCUCCAAGCUGCAAAGAUCCUACCAUAGAUGAAGUUCCUUAACAAGGAAUUGUAUGACAGCAGGUGUUCAUGUGGAUGGGGUUAUGUUCAGUCACAGAGAAAUACAGGGUUGGAUCAAGUGAGAAUGGAAACCGGGAGCUGGUGAAUUUUCAAGGAAACCAGAAUUAACCCUACACUCUACCGUGCCUUGGGCUAAGGGAUGAACACACAAAAAAACCAUUGCUCCAGGAACUUGGAAGGUGGAGAAUUGGGUCAUUGGAAGCCAGGGUGAUCAAGAAAGUCUUCAUUAUGUGAAUGAAAAAAUAUAUAUAUAUGUUUUUGUCUUGUCUUUUUGCCAUUUCUAGGGCUGCGUCUGUGGCAUAUGGAGGUUCCCAGGCAAGGGGUCUAAUCGGAGCUGUAGCCACCAGCCUACACCAGAGCCACUGCAACUCAGGAUCUGAGCCACGUCUGUGACCUACACCACAGCUCACGGCAACACCGGAUCCUUAACCCACUAAGCAAGGCCAGGGAUCAAACCCGAAACCUCAUGGUUCCUAGUUGGAUUCGUUAACCACUGAGCCGUGACGGGAACUCCUGAAUGGAAAUAUCUUGAAACUAGUACUGAAUCGAACAUUUAUUAACUCAAUAUUUGAAUUUCUUUUGGACCAUUUUUCAAGAAAACAGCCCCUAAUACCAACGUCAUGAGUGUUUAUGCUUUUUUUUUUUUUUUCCUGGAUUUUUUUCUCACAGAUUUCUGUAAGAUAACAUUCCCAGGCCCUGUGGCAUAGACUCUGUUUCCUAAUACAAAUAUCGAAUAGCUACUAAUUGUGUUUUCAGAACCUAAUGCUUGCAGAAAAACUGCCUAUAUCUUCCCUUUUCUACACAGAUUAAAGAGUCUGGGAUUGAUUCUUUGGAUAGAGAAGGUCACUAAAGAUCCAUAAUCAGGCAAAGUCCACAUAAUUCUGUGCCAUUAAAUCAAGCUGACAAAGUCACAUGUCAUAUGACCUUCACUCAACAAUAGGAAGCUGUGUUUGUUCCUUUCCCAUUCAUGGCAAAAGUCCUGGAUAAGCCAAAUGUGCUGCCAUGUGCUGCAGGAGGUACUGUGAUAAAUAUGGCCACCUCAAGGUCAUGGUCUUGAGAGGAAGUCUUAUAAACCAAAAAAAAUCUAGCAAAGGCCUGUUUUUGUUGUAUUUACUUGAAUGGCCUAGAUAGUUAUGGAGAUCUAUCUGUGGUGAUGCAUCAGACAGAGGCACUAUAGAUAAUGGGAUCCUCAAAAUGAUAUUUCCAUUGAUGUUAAAUCUGUAUUUUUUUUAUGGCCAUACCCAGGGCAUAUGGAAGUUCCUCAGCCAGGAUUGAAGCCGAGCCACAGCUGCAAUCUACUCGGCAGCUGCAGCAAAACCAGAUCCUUUAACCCACUGCAUGAGGCCAGAGAUCGAACCUGCACCUCUGAAGUGACCCAUGUUGUUUUAGUUGGAUUCUCAACCUACUGAGCUACAGUGGGAACUCCAAUGUUAAAUCUUAGUGUUAAAUGAGCUAUAACAACUAGGAAUGGCCACCCUGGUUGGUCUUUACAAAGCCCCUGCACUUAAAUGAAUAGGACUUGAAUUAUGGAAGAUCUGGAAAGAAAAUCAAUACUACAAGUAGAGAAGAAAGUGUUGGACUAUUUCUUUAUGAUAUUCUGAUCAUUUAAUUGUUAUACAGAUCAGUGAAAUGUAGUAAAACAAUUCUAAGGAAAUGAGAACUCUAUUGUCUAAGUCACAUGCUGUGUGUAUUUAUUUCACUGUUUAUGUACCAAUCUAUGAUACUUAUUGAAUAUUCACUUUGUACCAAAGAAUGUGCUAAGUGUUUUGUAUAUACUGUCUCCCCGAAGACUUGUAGCAACCCCAUGAUACAGGUAUGGUCAGCAUACUUAUUUUAUAGAAGAGAAAAAUUAAUGCUUUCAGUAACUUCAGGAUCAGGAUUAGAUAACUUCUAAUCUAUAAUAGAAAACUCAAAAACUUCAGGAUUUAAAUGUGGAAAGGUAGCCUUAAUUUUGGCUGGUUGCACUGUUCUCACCACACAGCUGUCAUGUAUGAAUCACAGACAUAGAUAUCUUCAGCCAGAGAAAGUGUCAGUGUUUCCAGCCACUAAAGGUAAAUCAGAUCACCUUUGUAGUAGCAUUUCUGAAAGAAAAAAAGUAUAUAAAUUAACAGAAAGCUAAUCACUUCCAUUAUAACAUAUAAAUAAACACUGAAAAAUUAUGUCUAUUUUUUGUCAAUGAAAAAAAAAAAAAGAUAGAAACCUGCAAGAUCGUGAAAUAGGAAGACCCUGAGCUCAUCUCCCAAGAGACCUAUCAAUGAGAAAGGUAGAAAAAGCACAGACAAUGCUUGAAAAUGAAGCACAGAGAGUCCCAAACAAGAUGAAUCCAAAGAGAUCCAUUCCAAGACACACUGUAAUCAAAAUGGCAAAAAAUUAAAAAUAAAGAGAAAAAUCUUAAAAACAACUAGUUACAUACAAGGAAACUACCAUAAGACUGUCAGCUGAAUUUUCAGAAGAAACUUUUCAGACCAGAGGGGAGUAGCAUGAUGUAUUUAAAGUGAUUAAAAGAAAAAAAAACUGUAACCAAGAACAUUCUUCAAAAAUUUCAUUUAGAUUUGAAGAAGCAAAGAAUUACACAGCCAAGCAAAAGCUAAGAGUUCAACACCACUAUACCAGCUUUACAGGAAAUAUUAAAGGGACUUCUCUAAGUAAAAUCAUCUAUAGCCAGAAUAACCUGUUAAACAAAAAUAUGAAAAAAUAUAAUGUCAAAAACAGUAAACAUGGAGGAGGAGGUAGUAAAAAUUCAGGUUUUUAGAUUCAUUUAAACUUAAGAGAUUGGCAACUGAAAAUGAUCAUAUAUAUACAAAUCUCAAGAUAACCAAAAAUCUAUAAUAUAAACACACACAAAAAAGAGAGAGGAAUUCAAACAUAACACUAAAGAUAGUCAUCAUAUCACAGGGAAAGAGAGUAAAAGAUGAAGAAAGGAACAAAAAUAAACUGUAAAAACAACCCCAAACAAUUAACAAAAUAGCAUUAAGCACAUACCUGUAAAUAAUUAAUAAUUAUGUAACAAGAAUGUAAAUAGACUAAAUCUUCCAAUGAAAAAACAUUAAGUGUCUGAUACAAAAAUAUGAUCUAUAUGUGAAUUAGAUGCCCCUGAGGAUUCAGGUUCAAUUCCUGGCCUCACUUAGUGGGUUAAGGAUCUGACAUUGCUGCAAGCUGCAGCACAGGUCACAGAUGCAGCUUGAAUCCAGUGUCGCCUUGGCGAUGGCAUAUGCCUGCAGCUGCAGCUCUGAUUUGACUCCCUAGCCCAAAUACCACAGGUGUAGCCAUUAAAAAAAAAAAAAAAAAAA
rnacentral:lncRNA from 1 species